GCUAAACGAGCCGCCUGGGAAGUACGUCCGCAAGGAUGAAACUUAAAGGAAUUGGCGGGGGAGCACUACAACCGGAGGAGCCUGCGGUUUAAUUGGACUCAACGCCGGACAUCUCACCAGCCCCGACAUCAGUAAUGACAGUCAUGUUGACGACAUCCGCUCGAGCUGAUGAGAGGAGGUGCAUGGCCGCCGUCAGCUCGUACCGUGAGGCAUCCUGUUAAGUCAGGCAACGAGCGAGAUCCACGUCCCUAAUUGCCAGCACCAUCGCACGAUGGGUGGGUACAUUAGGGAGACUGCCAGUGCUAAACUGGAGGAAGGAAUGGGCAACGGUAGGUCAGUAUGCCCCGAAUGGGCUGGGCAACACGCGGGCUACAAUGGUCAGGACAACGGGUUCCAACACUGAAAAGUGACGGUAAUCUCAGAAACCUGGUCGUAGUUCGGAUUGUGGACUGAAACUCGUCCACAUGAAGCUGGAUUCGGUAGUAAUCGCGUUUCAGAAGAGCGCGGUGAAUACGUCCCUGCUCCUUGCACACACCGCCCGUCAAAGCACCCGAGUGAGGUCCGGAUGAGGCCACAUUACUGUGGUCGAAUCUGGGCUUCGCAAGGGGGCUUAAGUCGUAACAAGGUUUCCGUAGGUG
rnacentral:rRNA from 1 species